rnacentral:rRNA from 1 species
UACGAAGGGGGCUAGCGUUGCUCGGAAUCACUGGGCGUAAAGGGUGCGUAGGCGGGUUUUUAAGUCAGGGGUGAAAUCCUGGAGCUCAACUCCAGAACUGCCUUUGAUACUGAGGAUCUUGAGUUCGGGAGAGGUGAGCGGAACUGCGAGUGUAGAGGUGAAAUUCGUAGAUAUUCGCAAGAACACCAGUGGCGAAGGCGGCUCACUGGCCCGAUACUGACGCUGAGGCACGAAAGCGUGGGGAGCAAACAGG